GACAGAGGAGCCAAGCGUUGUCCGGAUUGACUGGGCGUAAAGCGCACGCAGGCGGCCCGGCGCGUGGGGUGUGAAAGCUGGCGGCUUAACUGCCAGACGCCAUCCCAUACGGCUGGGCUCGAGCCCUGCAGAGGUCCAUGGAAUUGCCGGUGUAGUGGUGAAGUGCGUAGAGAUCGGCAGGAACACCCAGGGGGAAACCAGUGGACUGGGCAGGAGCUGACGCUCAGGUGCGAAAGCGUGGGGAGCGAACCGG
rnacentral:rRNA from 1 species